CCUGUCCGGCGGUGCCGCGCGUCCCCUCAGGGGCGGCUGAGGGGCAGCGGCAGUCGGCGCUCCUCGGCUCCGGGUUCGCUCCUCGGCUCCGGGUUCGCUCCUCGGCUGUAGAGGAAGGAUUUUGCUCUGCCCCGGCACAGGCGCGUCGCUUGCGAAAGAUGUCAGUGCUUCCUAAUGAUCUUGCCACAUCGGAGCUGCAGAAAGGUCAAGCCAGAGUUGCUGUCUCACUGAUACUUUGCUGAUGCUCCUCCAACCCAGGAGUAACAAGGUGCCACAGCUAAUGACAGUCACGAGACAGAAACUACUGUGGUGUUGGAAUGGAGCUGAACACUCCAAUGUGCUCCAGAGGACUCCCAAACCAAACAUGACAGAUCACUGGUCGUGUAGCUCUGACAACAUUUUGCCUCGCCACUCUUGUGGAUUGAUUGUGCACCUGCAGCAAGGCUGCAUGAAGUUGAAGAAGUGUGGAGGAAGCUGAUAAUGCUCUUUCAGUUCCUGAGGACUUCAAGCAGCUAUAAAAGUUAUAGGACAUUAGCAAACACCAACAAUCAGCUCACAAAGAGCUGGCUGAGAAGUUGAAGACAAACAUCUACAGAAACGUUGAAGCCUAAAAUAGUGCAGGAACACCAGCACCAGAGAUCCCUUCCCCUGACACAAGAUUUGUUAACUGGAGCCAAUAGUCACCCAGCUGCAGAGAAAAGAUCUUCAUCACCCUUAAGCACCCAGAAAGGAACUUCCAGAUGGAAUUAGCAAAGCCUCCACCCCAGCAGUCCAAGCAGUUGCUGAAUAUCAUUAAUCAUUCCAUCAAAUGGAGCAUUCACCACUCUCCUGCAAUUCUGCUGUCCUUCACGAAACCCAGCUUGGUUCCAGAGCUCACAGGAAAGACUCUGAAGCAGCUUUAAACCGCUUGUACCUUCAGGAACAGCCGGGUCAAAGCGACUGUCACCUCCAACACCUGCAAGGUCACCACCCAGCAGGGACAGGCCAUGGGAUCUUAUUUAUGAUGAUCCUGGAGAUCCCCAAGAGUUGUGCAUCAACACCAAGGCUGGAUUAAGGCUCUGCAAGUACCAGACCUACCUUCAGGCAGCAGAGCAGACACUUGGGUGGAGCAGACCUGGAUCUUGAGGAAUUUUCCCUGGAUAACAGAAUAAUGCCUCCAGCUAAAGGCGGGAUGCAGCACUCCCCAGCUGUCAUUUCCCUGGGGAAGAAUGGAGAAAGCUGCAGGAGCACACACAGACACGCAGGGAUCUCCGUUUCCAUGCUGGAAUUCAGGCUGCAGGAGCAGAGCUGGCACUGCCACAGCCCCAGGGACUCUGGGGUCACCCCUGUGAGCCUGGCCCCUGGCCUGAGCCGGGCUUCAGAGCCAGGGGAGUGUUCCAGGGCAUUCUGCCUUGAAAAACAGAACUCUCAGCCCUGUGAGGUGAGGGGAGGCCUCUGCACAGCUGGGGAGCUGCUGCAGGUCACACAAACCUGAUGGUUUAAAAAUAAAAACCCCCAGAAAUGCUGACUUUUAUCCCACUCUGUGCUCAGGCAGCCACACGAGACGCUUUGGUGCUGCCAGUGCACACUUGCAGAGAGAAUUUGUGUCCCCAAGAAGUAGGGAAGGGUCUGGGAAGGAUCCAGAUCUCCCAGGUAGCACAGGCUGCCCCCUCCCACUGUCCACACUGCACAGGUACCAACACAAGCCCCAUCCACAGGGAUUCACCCCAAAGGCAGCGAUUUCCCCUUCUCCUGGCAAGGACAGGCACUGGGGGAGGGAAGCUGUAACCAAUUCACUGCAGAUACUCCAGGCUGCGGGAACACUCUAUUUAUUAGGUCAAUAUUUCAUCUGAGCAAUACAGUUACAGAAUAUCACAAUGCUGGUUACAAACAUAGGAUGGCUCGUGGGCACAAAGGGUGGCAGGGAGAAGCGGGUACGAAACCUUCGUCCUGACACAACAGGGAGUGGGAGCUGCAAGGUCUAGUAAUGAGCAAGAUAUUUUAUAUAAAUGAACGUGGCACUACAGGUGGAGAUUCUGGUUUAGAGGUGGGUUUGUGUAAGUAGUUCAAUUUAUACAGUUAUACAGUUCAAGCAACAUCUUUUUCUUUUUUUUUUUUUUUUUUAAUGCUAUUAAAUUAAAAUCCCCUGUAGUUCAAUAAAGUAUAAAAAUAGUACUGAACCUGGUAAUAUUCAAUAAAAUGUAGAAUUCAUUCACAUCAUUAAGUAGUAAAGAAAUUGUAAAGUUGUAGUUACCAUGGCAACAUUGCUUCCCAGAAAGGAAUAUACAGAAAAGAAAAGUUACACAUAUGGUACCUGCGACGAGUAUUUAGCGAUCCAACACUGAACUUGUGCACCACAAACCAAGUCUCUAAAUAUCUCUAUAUAUUUAUAUAGUAUAUAUCUUUUUUCAUCUUAAAAUUUACUUUUGAAAAGAAAAAAAAAUGUGCACUUCAACAAACUCACUAAGGCCACUCAUGCUAUAGAUACCGAGGAUUGCAAGGAGUAGUGGAAUACGAGACCCUAGAGCACACACUUUACACCACCCAGGGACACCUGUGUCACUGCCCAAAACGUUCCUGAGAUUUAGGGACAAAAGCAUUCCCAGUGCUGCCAAUUCUUUGUAGGUA